UUUUUUAAGUGUAACCUGGUUUAUUGGGCUCUCGGCGUAUUCUUGCGUUCCUUCUGCACUGGGACAAGACACCACUGCACUAUUGGACUACGGCAAGCUGGUGCCGUCCGGUGGAGCUUCAUACAGGAACUACUGCCUUACCUGCUGGUGUCACAACGUUGGAUGAACGCACAAAAAGCGCGGAACGAGCUUUUAUAUAGAGCAAAAUAAAUAUUUCCUCAUUGCACAAAA